AGGUAAUUAAAAUUCAUUAAAAUGACAGAUCUAUCGGACUUUCAAAGAGGUCAAAUUGUUUGGUGCUGAAAUGGCAGGCGCUAGCGUAACGAAAUCAACCAAAAUGUUUCGUGUAUCAAGAACUACUAUCUCGAAACAACCUUCGAUAGAGGAUAAACCCUCCGCGUCGAAACAAAAGUCCGGAAGAAAACCAAUACUUUCAGAUAGGGACCAUCGCACUCUAUCUGGCGUUGGGAUACCGGCGUGAAUCAUCAUGAUGCAGGCAAUAAUCUGUUGCCGCCGUUUUAACACCGUUGUAGAGAUACAGAGCGAAUCUCCGAAGGUCUUCCAGUCGCUUACGGAAAACGACUUCCAGACCGGAUUCCAAAAGUGGCGGCAACGCUGGCUCCGGUGUAUUGCUGUGCAAGGUGACUAUGUCGAAGGAAAUGAUGUUAAAACUUAGUUGGAUUCACUUAACCUGAAGUAUGAGCAAAACAUGUCAGUCAGCGAAGGUGAAGAAAGCCGCGAUAUUUGUCUAAGAGGCUGAACAUAAAUAUACAAGAUCUUGUUUUACACACUCAAAAGAAUGAGCCCACAAAGUUUCCUUCGUACGACUAGUCGACCAACUAGAAAUAGCAAGAUGAUCUUCCUUAAAUGGCAUCCUAUCAGCUUCUAAUGUAAGAAUGCAUAGAACAAUAUAGUCGUAGAUAACUAUCGCUGCAUUAAAAAGAUGAGUAAUCAUAUUUGAAAUGUUUUUGAUCAUAAUUUUUCAGGGUGAGAGCUGAAUUGAUCUUAAAUAUCAAAACAAAAAUACUUUUUCAACUCCACAAUAACAAUGCCAGCAGAGUUGGCUGGACGUCGUGACACGACCGGCUAGCAAUAUGACCCAU